AGAGUUUGAUCAUGGCUCAGGACGAACGCUGGCGGCGUGCUUAACACAUGCAAGUCGAGCGGGAAACUUCGGUUUCCAGCGGCGGACGGGUGAGUAACACGUGGGCAACCUGCCUCACAAUGAGGGAUAGCCUUCCGAAAGGAAGAUUAAUACCUCAUAAUACAAGAGAAACGCAUGUUUCUCUUGCCAAAGAAUUUCGUUGUGAGAUGGGCCCGCGGCGCAUUAGCUUGUUGGUGAGGUAACGGCUCACCAAGGCUUCGAUGCGUAGCCGACCUGAGAGGGUGAUCGGCCACAUUGGAACUGAGACACGGUCCAGACUCCUACGGGAGGCAGCAGUGGGGAAUAUUGCACAAUGGAGGAAACUCUGAUGCAGCAACGCCGCGUGAGUGAUGAAGGUCUUCGGAUUGUAAAGCUCUGUCUUCUGGGACGAUAAUGACGGUACCAGAGGAGGAAGCCACGGCUAACUACGUGCCAGCAGCCGCGGUAAUACGUAGGUGGCAAGCGUUGUCCGGAUUUACUGGGCGUAAAGGAUGUGUAGGCGGAUAUUUAAGUGAGAUGUGAAAUCCCCGGGCUUAACUUGGGGGCUGCAUUUCAAACUGGAUGUCUAGAGUGCAGGAGAGGAAAGCAGAAUUCCUAGUGUAGCGGUGAAAUGCGUAGAGAUUAGGAAGAAUACCAGUGGCGAAGGCGGCUUUCUGGACUGUAACUGACGCUGAGGCAUGAAAGCGUGGGGAGCAAACAGGAUUAGAUACCCUAGUAGUCC
rnacentral:rRNA from 1 species